rnacentral:hammerhead_ribozyme from 1 species
AUCCAGCCGACGAGUCCCAAAUAGAACGAAACGCAUGUCCUGGAU